CUCAAAACAGAACACUAGAGCUGGAAAUGACCUGAGAACACAGAAUGUUUCAGCUUGAAGGGACAGAAGAGAUCAUUUCAUCCAACUCUCUCUCUCCUCUCAAAUUUUACAAAUGAUAAAGAUAUAUGAAAUGGCCAAGGGCAUCCAAACCACCAGAGCUGAGACCAGAAACCACAUUUCCUAAGUUCCAGUCCUGGACAUUUGUUCCCUAUGUUACCAGUUUCCACAAAAACAAAUUGUCGCCUAAACAAGACAGCUGCCUGGUGGCUCCCCGAGGGGGGCCUGGGCUGGAGAGAAUACGAGAGCUGGGGAGUAAAUCUGCUCCUGCUUCUGCAGUAACAGUGAUUCAGGCCUCGGAAAAGCUGGGUUUAUUAAAAAUCAUCCGUCUGCGUUCCCAAUAUGACUUACUGUAUGCAUCUCUCCAGGAGAAUGGAUGAGCCUUUUAGAAGUUAAUGUAAGCAA
rnacentral:lncRNA from 1 species